rnacentral:rRNA from 1 species
UAGCUAGUUGGUGAGGUAACGGCUUACCAAGGCGACGAUCUGUAGCGGGUCUGAGAGGAUGAUCCGCCACACUGGAACUGAGACACGGUCCAGACUCCUACGGGAGGCAGCAGUGGGGAAUUUUGGACAAUGGGGGCAACCCUGAUCCAGCCAUGCCGCGUGAGUGAAGAAGGCCUUCGGGUUGUAAAGCUCUUUCGGCCGGGAAAAAAUCGCAUGGGCCAAUACCCUGUGUGGAUGACGGUACCGGAAUAAGAAGCACCGGCUAACUACGUGCCAGCAGCCGCGGUAAUACGUAGGGUGCGAGCGUUAAUCGGAAUUACUGGGCGUAAAGCGUGCGCAGGCGGUUUUGUAAGACAGGCGUGAAAUCCCCGGGCUCAACCUGGGAACUGCGUUUGUGACUGCAAGGCUAGAGUACGGCAGAGGGGGGUGGAAUUCCACGUGUAGCAGUGAAAUGCGUAGAGAUGUGGAGGAACACCAAUGGCGAAGGCAGCCCCCUGGGUCGAUACCGACGCUCAUGCACGAAAGCGUGGGUAGCAAACAGGAUUAGAUACCCUGGUAGUCCACGCCCUAAACUAUGUCAACUAGGUGUUGGGUGGGUAAAACCAUUUAGUACCGUAGCUAACGCGUGAAGUUGACCGCCUGGGGAGUACGGCCGCAAGGUUAAAACUCAAAGGAAUUGACGGGGACCCGCACAAGCGGUGGAUGAUGUGGAUUAAUUCGAUGCAACGCGAAAAACCUUACCUACCCUUGACAUGCCAGGAACUUGCCAGAGAUGGCUUGGUGCCCGAAAGGGAGCCUGGACACAGGUGCUGCAUGGCUGUCGUCAGCUCGUGUCGUGAGAUGUUGGGUUAAGUCCCGCAACGAGCGCAACCCUUGUCGUUAAUUGCCAUCAUUUAGUUGGGCACUUUAGCGAGACUGCCGGUGACAAACCGGAGGAAGGUGGGGAUGACGUCAAGUCCUCAUGGCCCUUAUGGGUAGGGCUUCACACGUCAUACAAUGGUCGGUACAGAGGGUCGCCAAGCCGCGAGGUGGAGCCAAUCCCAGAAAGCCGAUCGUAGUCCGGAUUGCAGGCUGCAACUCGCCUGCAUGAAGUCGGAAUCGCUAGUAAUCGUGGAUCAGCAUGUCACGGUGAAUACGUUCCCGGGUCUUGUACACACCGCCCGUCACACCAUGGGAGCGGGUUCCGCCAGAAGUAGGUAGCCUAACCGCAAGGAGGGCGCUUACCACGGCGGGGUUCGUGACUGGGGUGAAGUCGGAACAAGGUAGCCGUAGGGGAACCUGCGGCUG